rnacentral:rRNA from 1 species
AUUGAACGCUGGCGGCAGGCUUAACACAUGCAAGUCGAGCAGGGAAGGGUAGCUUGCUACCUGACCUAGCGGCGGACGGGUGAGUAAUGCUUAGGAAUCUGCCUAUUAGUGGGGGACAACAUUCCGAAAGGAAUGCUAAUACCGCAUACGCCCUACGGGGGAAAGCAGGGGAUCUUCGGACCUUGCGCUAAUAGAUGAGCCUAAGUCAGAUUAGCUAGUUGGUGGGGUAAAGGCCUACCAAGGCGACGAUCUGUAGCGGGGCUGAGAGGAUGAUCCGCCACACUGGGACUGAGACACGGCCCAGACGCCUACGGGAGGCAGCAGUGGGGAAUAUUGGACAAUGGGCGAAAGCCUGAUCCAGCCAUGCCGCGUGUGUGAAGAAGGCCUUUUGGUUGUAAAGCACUUUAAGCGAGGAGGAGGCUACCGAGAUUAAUACUCUUGGAUAGUGGACGUUACUCGCAGAAUAAGCACCGGCUAACUCUGUGCCAGCAGCCGCAGUAAAAC